UCUUCGAGAUACUCGAGUGGCGAACGGGUGAGUAACACGUGGGCAAUCUGCCCUGCACUUCGGGAUAAGCCUGGGAAACUGGGUCUAAUACCGGAUAGGACCUUUAGGCGCAUGCCUUUUGGUGGAAAGCUUUUGCGGUGUGGGAUGGGCCCGCGGCCUAUCAGCUUGUUGGUGGGGUGAUGGCCUACCAAGGCGACGACGGGUAGCCGGCCUGAGAGGGUGUCCGGCCACACUGGGACUGAGAUACGGCCCAGACUCCUACGGGAGGCAGCAGUGGGGAAUAUUGCACAAUGGGCGCAAGCCUGAUGCAGCGACGCCGCGUGGGGGAUGACGGCCUUCGGGUUGUAAACCUCUUUCAGCAGGGACGAAGCGCAAGUGACGGUACCUGCAGAAGAAGCACCGGCCAACUACGUGCCAGCAGCCGCGGUAAUACGUAGGGUGCGAGCGUUGUCCGGAAUUACUGGGCGUAAAGAGCUCGUAG
rnacentral:rRNA from 1 species